rnacentral:tRNA from 1 species
GGAGGGUACAGCUCAGUGGUACAGCACGUGCUUAGCAUGUACAAGGUCCUGGGUUCAAUCCCCAGUCCCUCCA